rnacentral:lncRNA from 1 species
CAUACUGUCGCACUGACCUGUGUACUUUCGCUCGGGGCAUUAUGGGUAAGAACUAUUUUCAACAUGGAGUCGUAAACAAGGAAGUGAAAGUAUGCUUUGCAUUUUUAGUUGAAUAUUCACCAUUGUUGUUUCCAGAGACUAAUUUCCAAAGUAUCAGUUUGAUGUAGUCCAGUAAGGCUAAAUGUACAGUCUAGUCAGAAAUGGUCCAGACCUAAAAGGCUAAAUACCAGACCUAAAAGGCUAAUUACCAGAUGCACACUUUGUUUUCUUGUAUUGUAUUCUUGUUUUGUUAACUGAUAUUUUUUCCUGAAUAAACAGUUGAUAAUUGGUACGAGUUUAUAUGAUAUCUGAAUAUUAAAAAUCAUAUUCAAUAAAGAUUUCUCACGGCUUGCUUCAAAAUUGUAAAAAAUCUCAGAAUUUAUUUCUCGGUGAGGACAGUCGGUGACAGGUAGCUCAGUUGGUUAGAGCACCCCAGACAUAGAAGUUUAUAUGUCAUGGGGAGGUCUCAGGUUCGAAUCCUGACCUGGCACUUGUCCACCUUAUUACCUCCAAUUAUGUCAAUUUACACUUCCAAAUUUUAACACAUAAAUCUUCAAUUCUUCAUGUAUGUACAUUUGAUCUUAUAAUAUUUUGCAUAACACAGCACAUUUAGAAAGUGUUUCAAGCAUUUUGCCAUGGAAAACUUAAGCGAUUGAUGCUUUAAUUUAUUGUUAUAAAUUUUGUUGUUGAGCACAAUAUCCUAUUAACUUUGAUAUAAUCUUACAGUUUAGAUACAUGAAAUGGUAGGUAUAUACUAAUGUAACAUUUAGAUUUUUUCAACUGAGAAACAGGCAUGUCCCAUGUUUUAUAACUGCAGGUCAAUAGGUAAUACAAACUAGGACAUUUUUGUUUUAUUUUAAUUUAGUAAAAGCUGACUUUAGAUGAAUACUGCAGACCAAGAUACUAGUAACAGUAUAUUACAUUACAUAUUUGUAAAGGUCACUAUACAUAAUCCUUGCAUAUUUCUCAAUCUGCUGCAUGAGCUGUCAGGAAGUUGUAGUGAUAGAAAUAAUGGACUCUUCUGAAACUAAGUCACAUUGUUAUUUUUGUAUCAGAAUGAAUUAUGAAUAAAAUCCAUUUCAGAAGAAAGGGACUUGAUUUAACAUAUUGCUUUGUGUUUUAAAUGGCGUGGUUGACAUAAUAUUUACUAAAAAAUUUGGUUGGAAGAUGUAAAAAAGAUGGAGAGAAUUUUUGGUCAAAUAUUGGAAAUUAAACCUACUUUCUGAGAGAAGAAUGAACUAAAUAUUUUACAACUAGCCUGGGAAAUAGAAUUUUUGUGUGAAAUACUAUCAAUUUAAAACAUUGAACAGAAUCUAGAAACAUUUUAAACAUCUUUUAUUGACUGUAUAUAUAUACACAUUGUUAACAUUCUAGUUAUUAUUUUCAUUUAAGUUACGAGUGUAUUACCCUUUUACCUUUUACUGAUCUGAUAAAAUGUUUUAAUGUGUGUACCAGAAAUAAUAUUUAUAAUCAUUAGUAACAUUGCAUCAGUUCUUACAUAAAUAUCUGGUCCAUAGUUUGUGUUUUAUGACAUGUCUAAUAUUUGAGAAUUAUGGUUAAUAUUAAUGUCUAAAGUCAUGUUAUAUACCACUUAUUGAAUGGCUUGCCAGUCAGUAUUCAUGACUUAGCCUUUUUUUUUUACUAUUGACCAGCAAAUACUUCCAAUUUCCAUUAAUAAUUAUAUUAUAUUGAAGUUGUCUGUGCUUAGGAUUUUAUAUGCUUCCUAAAGUGUAUUUGUUUGAUAUGUUCCCCAUGUUUAGUAGGCCUAUUAAUUAAUAAAAAAUAGACUGCAAAAUAGUGUGUAUGAACUUUAAUAUAUGUAAAAAAUAAAACUGGAAUUUACAAAGGUGGUUGUUUUUCACUCAUGAUAGUGGUGUUGAAAACUGAAAUCCUGUCAGUAUUACAUUGUCCAUGAUUCAUAGUUGUAAACAACAAGUACUUUUUAGCAUUUCCAGUUAGCAAUAGCAGAGAAAUUAUUCUCUCUUUGGUCUAACUGUCAGUGGUGCACCAAGGGAAGGACUAGACUACCAGAACUGCAAUAUGUAAACUUAGAGUAAGUGUUUGGUUAUUAACCCUUUGAACAGAAUAUGAUAUACAUGUACAUUGACAUGGGAUGCCAGCUGGUAUAUCAGGCCACACAGUAUUCCUUCUUGAUGACAUGACUUAAGCACUCUAUUUGUGCAUCAUUUAAACGUUUAGGACAUUGAUCUUAUGAUAUCUAAGUCUCCCGAUCCAUAUUUAAUAUACCAUAAUUGCGCUGCAAUACUACAGUAUAGGAAAGUGAAAGUAGAUUUUCCUUUUUGUCAAAAAAUAAUUCUAUGACACGAAUCAGAGAACGAUAACGGUUUAAAAAGUUUAAGUAAUCACAAUUACGCACAUUUCUUGUAAUAACAUGCAAAAAAUAAGUAGAUUCUGAAAAUUUACCGUCCUCCGCGGGACUAUGUUUUAGUGUAUGUACAAUUAUCCAAAAUCGGCUAGUUAUCAGUUCCUAGUAUAGAGGUUAGACGGAAUGUGUGACGUCACGCUCUAUGUAUAGAAUG